CGUGAAUCAGGACAAGAACUGAAGGACAAAACAGGAGGACAAAAAAAGUACCCUGAGAGCGGCGCAUGGAGCAUGACAUAUGCUUGGGCUCCCACCUCUCUUAGAAGGCCACCCACUGAGCAUACCCCAUCCUCCCUAGGGGCCUCCUAGUGCUGGGCUAGUGAAAAGAGGGCGGAGAGGAGAUGGGGCAUGGGCACACCACUUCCUCUCUGGGCCUCAACUUCCCCAUCUGAGACACAUCCAACUCUAGGGAAUCAUAAUGUCUUUUUCUAAGUUGUAAUGUCGCGCUGCAGAAACCUCCACCCAUGGUUUUGCUUCUGUGGGUGUGACCAGCCUCACGUCAUUCCCCACCCCCGGGACUCCUCAUGUAGGAGGGGGCCCUCCAACACCCUUGUCUGCUCACACCACACUCAGCCACUUCAACAGGGCUGGCACAGCAAAGAGAACACCAAAGCAGCUCCAGCCCACCCAGGCUGGAGGCCUAGGGGACACCCUGUCAUGCCGCACCUCCAAGUGCCUGAGUUCAACCCCCAAGACCUCCACCUGAAGUCCUGGCUCCCACGCCCCGGAAGCGUGAGGCAUGAGCUGAGGGGACGCAGACUCAUGACAUCUUUAAAGGCACAGAGAUUGCAUCCAAAAAAAGUGAAAUGACCAUGCUGGGCCUUCCUGUACUGCAGACGAAAACCGAGGUGGCCCUGCUUACGGACCUCAAGGCACCCGUGCAGUCUAAACCUCUUCAGAGGGGGCCAGGUGCUUCCCACUUCUGUGUCCAUGUCUCCUGCCUCCCUGCAUGUAAGCCCCAGCCCACCUUUGCAGAUUCUGGUCACCUGCAACACCUCCCCUAGCCAUUCUGCAUCGGCCUGGCCUCUCUGUGCCCAGUGUGGAGAAUGAAGGGGCAGAUGGGCACAGCUCCAAGAGGACCGGAUCAGCACCAGGGCAGGCGUGUGCUCUGAAACAAAGCCCACCCCAGGAGGGGAAAAACAAGCUCUGAAGGCUCACUGACACUUUUGCAAACAUCCAACUUCAUGGAGACCCUAGCCCUGUGAACUGCCAGAAUCACUCACAGCAAUAGGUCCUGAGCACACUGAUGCCCAGCUGGCAGAGGCGGCUGCCCAGGUCUCAGCACGACAGCAAACUCCUGCAAAGCUAGAGUGCUCACCGUGACCCCAGCCUGGGCAGCACGCCUUCCUGGGCCAGGCCCACCUGACAUCUUCAAGGCCAGGUUUGGCUGCAGCAGCAAGGCCUCACUUGUCAACUCAGUGCCCUCCUCAGUCAUCUCCUCCCAGGGCCAGAGCCAGAGAGAAGGGAUAGAAGACAGGAGGAGGCCCACCUUCCCGGCUGAUGCCCACCUACUCUCAGCCACUCUUCAGGCCUGAGUUGCUGAGCCGACAGCAAGAUGAGAAUGAGGUUUGGGGAGGAUCCAGAG
ensembl:lncRNA